rnacentral:rRNA from 1 species
GACGAACGCUGGCGGCGUGCUUAACACAUGCAAGUCGAACGGAAAGGCCCUGCUUUUGUGGGGUGCUCGAGUGGCGAACGGGUGAGUAACACGUGAGUAACCUGCCCGUGACUUUGGGAUAACUUCAGGAAACUGGGGCUAAUACCGGAUAGGAGCUCCUGCUGCAUGGUGGGGGUUGGAAAGUUUCGGCGGUUGGGGAUGGACUCGCGGCUUAUCAGCUUGUUGGUGGGGUAGUGGCUUACCAAGGCUUUGACGGGUAGCCGGCCUGAGAGGGUGACCGGCCACAUUGGGCCUGAGAUACGGCCCAGACUCCUACGGGAGGCAGCAGUGGGGAAUAUUGCACAAUGGGCGGAAGCCUGAUGCAGCAACGCCGCGUGCGGGAUGACGGCCUUCGGGUUGUAAACCGCUUUCGCCUGUGACGAAGCGUGAGUGACGGUAAUGGGUAAAGAAGCACCGGCUAACUACGUG